AAGUCGUAACAAGGUUUCCGUAGGUGAACCUGCGGAAGGAUCAUUAAAAAUUUUUAUCCGAAAAUUCGUUUUCGGAUUAUUUGUAUUCAAAUCCCACUCUUUAUAAAAAUAUUAAUUAUAAAAAACAAUAUAAAAAAGAAAACUUUCAACAACGGAUCUCUUGGCUCUC
rnacentral:misc_RNA from 1 species